GGAUCUGCUGUUUCAAAUGCGGCAUUGUUUGGUGAUGCCUGUCCAUAUCAUCCUGAUUCUGAUACUAGGGAAAGGUUUUUGAUUCCUUGGAUAUGCUACUAUAUUUUUGUUUAAAGGCUUAAAUUUAUAUUAAUAUUCACGCAGGUUUGAGAUGUAAGGGUAUAGCGAAACAUUUACAUUCUUGUCCCUUUAGAAGUCUCUCUCUCUCUAGUGAAAAUUAUCAUUCCUGGCGUUCCAUGAAUUACAUACAGUAAAUAAGAAAGUUUAUUUAAUACCCUGUUGAAGAGGAGCCCUCUGCAUUGGAAUUGUAGAGGAAUUUUCGUCCUUGAGGAUUUGUACUUCAGUACCUUACAUAAAUAAUUUUUACUUAAAUUUCCCCUUAGUUUUCAUAUGAACCUGUAUUAAUCCUGGAACACUAUUUUCAUACUACAGGCAAGACUAGAAAUGUACUUCAUCCCUUUAAAAAGAAUUGUGACUUAGUAGUACAAACCCAUGUUUUCAUCAUGAGUAAAUAUGCAUGUAUGUUCUUCUUAUAUCUUCUACAGCUGUUAGUGUGUGCAAAGAAGGAGUUAUUCAUAACUUUUAUAAUGGCUCAGUUUAAUAGGCACUCUCCUAAAACAAUAAUGUGUUUUUACACUAGAUUCUAAUGCACUUGUGCAUUGGAGUAGAUGUAUGCGUUUUAUUAGAUAGGAUGUCAGUCUGGCAGGGGUGGGUCCGAGUUUUGAUUCAAGAGUGAAGGUUUGCCCUUACCUUACACAUUGUUGGAAAUGCAAAGGCCGUUACCUCUUACACAUUUUGUGGCACUUCUUAACGUGCCUUCUGAAAGGCAGAGUCUCCAUUUGUGUUCACAGGGAUGACGGUUCAUGGAAGAACUACCACAGUGGUAGCAGCUUCAGACUGUUUAUGUGACUGUUUAUACUUCUCUGCUACACGUUGCCAUUGUUGCAGUGGUGUUGGCAGACACAUACUGGUUUUCCCUGUGAACUGUUUUAGUGGGAAGUCUGGUGUUUAGAUGAAAAUGGAAUAGCUGAGGCUUGAGCACACACUCCAUUCUGUUUCUGUGGCAUUUGUCCAGAAUAAAUGGGCAGAAUGGAUAGCAAAGAAUGACAGCUUCUUGAACUGUCACAGAUCGGUCACCUAGCAUAGCCUGUCCACACAAUAGACUGUUUUUAUUUUAUGCAUUGGCAAUCCAGUGUGUUUCUGGUUUUAAAUGAUGCUCUUACUAUAAGCAUGACUGAUUCUGUAUAGGAAGAGAACAUAUUCUUAUAUCUUUUUCCAGUAAUAACAAGAAAUAAGAUUAUAAACCAUAAUUACAUCUGUUAUUUACUGUCUUGCUUCUAAAUAAUUGCUGGAUGAUUAAUUACUUUAUUCCCUUCCCAGGUAUAAUUCAAGUUUGCAGCACAAAUUUUGGUAUUGUGUCUUCACUGGUGACAUACCCUGGUGUAAUGUAACUUACAGCUAAGACUGUAGUUUGUGCCAAAAUCUUGCCUGACUGUUUUUGGAGGUGGAUUGCUUUAUCAGCCUGACUUAUCAGGGAGAACUGGUUCGAAUCUGAAGUAAGACUGGAGUAGCAGUAAACACUGUUCACAAAAUGCAAAAAUUCAAGGUUUCAGAUAGUUUCUAUUGUAAUGCUGUGAUAGAUACAAUUGUUACAGUGUUGUUAUGCAUGGCCCAAAUAACAAUACUUAUUAAUAAAAAUACUUAAUAAAGAAUUAAUUACAAUCAAUUUGCUUCCCUAUUAUUGAUUAGUAAUGUUCAAAGCAUUUCUCAUCAUAGCAUUUGCAGCAAUGCACCUACCUGUAAGAACUGGGGUGUAUUUCAGAAAGUAGGAUAUUUUUGUUCUCUGUCAAGUUAAAGUCAGUGUGCUGCAGGCUUACAGUACCAUUUGCAUAUCAAUAAACUGAAUUAUAACUCUCUUAAAAA
ensembl:lncRNA